rnacentral:ncRNA from 2 species
GGCUCAAACUCUGGAGAGAGAUUGCAGCAGCAAUCCACCGAAGGGGCGUGCGGAAAACGAGGACAUCCCCCGUUCCGCUAUCUCUCAGGUACCAAGGACAGAGGGGUUGCA